rnacentral:RNase_P_RNA from 1 species
GGAGUUGGCCAGGCCAUCGCUGCGACGCUCGUAAUGACGUCGUGGAGGAAAGUCCGGGCUCCACAGGACAGGGCGCCAGGUAAUUCCUGGGGGGCGUGAGCCUACGGAAAGUGCAGCAGAGAGCAGACCGCCUGCCCGCCGGGUUCGCCCGGCAGGCCGGUAAGGGUGAAAGGGUGCGGUAAGAGCGCACCGCGUUCGUGGCAACACCGAACGGCACGGCAAACCCCGCCCGGAGCAAGACCAAAUAGAGGAACAAUGGCGCGGUCCGCGCUGUUCCCGGGUAGGUCGCUAGAGCGCUGUGGUGACACAGCGCCCAGAUGAAUGAUGGUCCGCGACAGAACCCGGCUUAUGGCCAACUCCCUAU